AAGGUUUCCGUAGGUGAACCUGCGGAAGGAUCAUUAUUGAAAUAAACCUGAUGAGUUGCUGCUGGUUCCCUAAAGAACAUGUGCACACUUGUCAUUUUUAUAUCUCCACCUGUGCACCUUUUGUAGACCUGGAUAACUUUCUGAAUGCUAGUCAUUCAGGCUUGAGGAUUGACUUUUUGUCUCUCCUUACAUUUCCAAGUCUAUGUUUCUUAUAUACCCCAAUCUAUGUUAUAGAAUGUAAACAAAUGGGCGUUUACGCCUAUAAACCUAUACAACUUUCAGCAACGGAUCUCUUGGCUCUCGCAUCGAUGAAGAACGCAGCGAAAUGCGAUAAGUAAUGUGAAUUGCAGAAUUCAGUGAAUCAUCGAAUCUUUGAACGCACCUUGCGCUCCUUGGUAUUCCGAGGAGCAUGCCUGUUUGAGUGUCAUUAAUAUAUAUCAACCUCUUCAGCUUUUGCUUGUUGAGUGUUUGGAUGUGGGGGUUGUUUGCUGGUCUCUUUUYGAGGUCAGCUCCCCUGAAAUGCAUUAGCGAAACAAUUUGUUGAACGCUCAUUGGUGUGAUAACUAUCUACGCUAUUGACGUGAGGCAGUUUAGCUUCUAACAGUCCAUUGACUUGGAUAAUUUUUUCAUUAAUGUGACCUCAAAUCAGGUAGGACUACC
rnacentral:rRNA from 1 species